CCUCCAAAUGGCCUUUCUGCUUCAAAAUAUCAGAAAACCCUUUUCAUCGCCCCUUGCAGCAGGAAGUUGUAGGGGAUGGCCUUUGUCUUCCUCCAUGUCUGAACGCAGAAUAGGGAAGCACCAGCUUGAGAACAACUGGUGCCGUCCUUGGAAAUUAUCUGCCCACAAAAACAUAUCUUGUCCUCGAAAAUGAGCCAAGACGCCUCACGCUGAAAACAGGGAGACCUUGGGGAUGUGUGCAAACACUGCACCUGCUGAGUGGGUAGAUUCUAAGAAAAUCAAGAUGUUCUGGCCUGUCCCCUCUGAGAAGGGAAAAAUGAGUAUAGCACUUGGCUGGGGUCCGAGAAAGGCAGUAUAAAAAUAAAGGAGCUGCGCCACAUCGGGGCUGCUGCAGCCAUUGUCUCUCUGUCUGUGUUGUCUGUCUGUGCUUUUUGUUCACUUCCAUUUCACCCAAGUGAGCAGCACGCAACAUCUGGCACCCAACGUGGGGCCCAAAUAGGGACCCACCGUGGGGUAGGACCCCACAGCCCAGAAGAACGUGGGGCACGAAAGACCCCACUGUGGAACAGGACCCCACAACCCUGAGGAAAUUGGAGACAGGAUGCCAGGGGUGACUUGGGACCCAGAAGGGGGCCAACUUCGGGUAAGCCGACACCAUGAUAGGUGAACUUCUGGAAGAAACAAAGAGUACUAAUGGGGAACUCUCCCUCCCUUGAGAGGGAAGAUCAACAGCUCAUGCAGGGACUUCUACAUUCUCUUGGUGUAACUGCCAAAGACAAGCUGUUGAAAGAUUUAUUUGCCAGGGUCCAGAAACAUUGCUUUUAAUUUUGCUUUCAGUCAGAGGUGCAACUGAAUAAUGAAGCCUAGCGUAAGGUUAUCAAAACUCUUUGCCAGGCUCAUCCACAGGGGGACACGAUGCCUGCUACUUUGUGGUCCCUUUGCAGCUCUAUUUCUCAAGCUUUGCAACUGUUAGAAAUGGACUCUGAGAGAGAUGCUCAUUCUGCUGACUCUGAUUUAUAAGAGCCUGUGCUGGCAUAGGCAGAGUUGCUUAUCAAGCUGAAGAAGAACUCACGUAGGUAGAACAACACAUUCAAAAAACUCAAUUAUCAAAAAUUGACUUAUACAAACCUUAACUCAUAUUAAUUUACCUUGCUCCCCAAUCAAAGCAGUCCACUUGGGCCUGUGCCACUUUCUCCUGAAUAAUGCAAAUGAAGUCUGUAAAGUAAUUAAGCUGAACCCUCAGACCAACAUGUAAAUAGCUCUAUUUCAUUCACUCCUUUCUUUAGAGGCAGUCGUCCUGGGGCUAUGCAUUUCCUUUUCUGCAGCCCCGGGGAAGCAAAACAAGUUGUGACUCGGAUCAAGGCUCUAGCAGCGAGAGGUCACACAGUCCCUGCACUUAUCAGACAUUCAGGGGCCUCUCAAGAAUGACUAAAGCUCAGGCAGAAAAGACUAGGAAAACUGGGAGCAAUUCGAUCUCUAAAUUCUAAAGAAGUGUCUUAUAUUCUGCAGACAAACCUGGCCUCAAUACAAACUCUCUGAUUAGAGAGACUUGGCCCCUGAAAGAAGUAUGCAAUGUAAUGUUAUGCAGCUAAAUAUAUUUUGCCACAGGAAAGAAAAUAGUCAAAAGUCCCAUGAACUACUACAAUAUGGAAGUAGUUUUUUAAAUUCUUUUAGUGAAAAUCUAUUCUACUUAUUAAGUUCAUCAUUAUCCUUGAAAAUUGGGAAGUCUUAAACUAGACUUCCUGAGAUAGAAGAAAUUUAUUUUUUACAAUACUGGCUUUAAAUAACUGGUGCUAAAAUUGUACUUUCAUUUCAUUUCCAGCCCCCUGGACACACACAGUCUAUAGAUUCAGAGCCUUCAUCAGCCCUGUUAGUCUGGGGCCAUCUAAACCUUAGCCCAGUUAUGUAAACUGCCCACCCUUAGAGUGUAUUCUUGAAAACUGAAGUACUUUUAAUCAAUAAGCUAAAAAGAAAGAAGGCAAUUGAAUAUUAGUAACUUAAAUAUUUAUAUCAGUUUAUCUGUCUGUGUAUAUGUUCUUUUAUAUGAAAAGUGUUGCUAACUGUAGUCAUUACGUCUCAGUCUGUAAUUUUGUGUGUCUAAGUGUGUAAAUAAAAAAUACUUUCUACCUCCGGAUGGUAUUAAUAAAAAUUGAUUUAAAAACAAGCGCUUGUGAAAAUUGGGCAUUCUAAAACUUCUAGAAAAUCUAAUAAAAAAUAUUAAGCAUUAAUGCUAAUUUAAGUUUAACUGAAACGGACAUGUCCUUAUAGUUAUCAGCUGCCAACGUUUACUUAAAAGUCGUUUAAGUUGAUAUUACCUGUUAAAUAUUUCAAGAAGACGUUAAAGAAAAGCUUGACUUUGUCUAAUGUUUGGUAAGUUUUAUAAGUAAUCUAGCAUAGUUACUAAAAAUAAGUAAACAAGUGUAGCAAAUGGACAUCUUAAUAAUAAUAGUGUAUUAAUGUAUAAUAGUGUUUAUAAAUGCAAACAGCCUGAAAUUUUUGUGGUAACCAAAAUUCUUAAAGUUUUGCUAAGUUAUAUAGACAUAUUUUGUGCUUAAAUGAGAAAUUGUGCUGUAAGGCACAUUUCCAAAAAUGAUAAAAUAUGUUCAUAAAUGUAUCAAUCUGAAGAAUGCUGGUGUAACAGUUUACAGAGGCCUAUUUUUCAGUGUUCACUGAAGGUUAAAGUACCAAAUGGUUUUAAGUUCUAAUUAAAACUAUUUAAUAUAAUAAGGAAAACAUUUCUGUAUGCUAAAGAAUGUGUUUUAAUAAGAGAAGGUAUAAAGAAUAGAAAUGCAUUGUACUGAAAGUAAAAGAAGAUAACUUGUUCUUAAAUACAGCUGUUCAUUGAAUGCUUAAGAAAAUGAGAUCAAUAUUAAAAAGACUAAGCUAAGUGUUGUUAACAACUAUGUAACCUUCUGUAUUUGCUUUUAAAUUUUAUUAUCAUUCUGGUUAAAUAAUAAGUGUUAUUUAAUGACUAUAAUUCUAUUUAGGCAAGUUCCUUAAAACCUUUUGACAACUUCCCAAGAAUUAAAAAAAUUUUUAAAGUAUUUUUACCUCUAGUUAACUGAUGUUUUCCAGAGAGCCCCUGGAACAUGUCAUAGGAAUUUCUUCUCCUCACCAAGAAAAAUAUUUGGCUAAUUUGACUUAUUUACCUGAUAUAUAUUUACCUGGAAAGCACUGUCAAAAGAAAUAAUGCUAAACUUUAUUACUGAAUGUUUCAUGUUACUCUUCCCCCCUAAGAUGCUUACUCCUGACGCCCAAUUAAAUUUACCUGUUAGUACUACUAUAAUCACUGACUGUGUAUGUAUUAAUUGUACUCAUGUACACUCUUACUGUAUUUCUACAAUCAAUGUAAAAUGGUCUUCUAGGUAUAGACUUCCAAAUGGUUGGGUAAUUUGUGUAAUAACAAAACAUAUCAAGCCCUUUCUUCACACUGUCGAGGUGUUUGUGGGGAGGGACGCAUUCUUCCUGUCCUAAUAGAUCAUCCUGGAUAUAAGCGCAAGAGACUUCUCCGAGCUCUGCCAUCUGAUUGUAACGACAACUUGAAACUUUCAAAUCCUGCCACUGUUGAAGUUGCAGCUACAUUCCUCCUGCCGGUCCCUGGACUUGCUGCUAGAAUGCAGAAAUAUCUAAGCUGGCCUGUGCUUCUAUAUUAUCUGAACUCAACCAAAAAGUAGAAGUGCGAGUUGCAGUACUUCAGAAUCACACUACCAUAGACUAUCUGCUGUUAAAAGAACAUGUAGAAUGUAAACAGCUUCCAGGAAUGUGUUAUUUUAACUACUCUGAUUUUUCUCAAGCUAUUCAAAAUCAAUUAGAUGCUAUCCAUCAUAUUGUCAAUAAGUUUUCACAAAUGCCUGAGUUACCUGACUAGUUUUCAUAAUUUCAUUGGAUAUGGCUAGUAAUUUUAAGUCUGCCUUUGUUAUGUAGCCAAGAAAAUAACGGUGAUGGGUCUUCCUAUACCCUUAAGAGCAGGAAUGUUAAGAGUCCGGACAGGAUUACCACUGUUUUGAGUAAGUACAGCAGCCAUCUCAGAGAGACCUGGGUUUCAUUUUACUUAAGCCACAGGCAUUUUCCAGAGGACUCCUCAGUUAGCUACAAGCCACAAGCCCUGCCGACCUGCCCCCUCAAAACCCCACCAAAAAGAUGUUAUAAAAAGCCUCCUAACUGUAAGAGAGGCCUUUUUUGUUCUGCUUGCCAGAACACAGAGGUCCCUCUCAGGUUUAGCAAUAAAUCUACUCAGACUGUU